rnacentral:lncRNA from 1 species
GUGAUCUGCCGUCCUCUGUGAGCCUCAGGAUGGAUGUUUGCCAGCCGAUUCCAUGGUUACAAGCUCUAUAGCUGCAUCUAUGUGUUAGGAGCAUGAAGACCAAUGUGAAUUUAAAAAAAUAUUAUUGUAAAAGAAUCAAGGGCAGGAUGAAUAAAUCAGUGUAUAAAUGAAGAAGAUAAGGAGGAUGGAUGCACUGAGCUGAUUAUGAAUUUAGCCCUGAUGAAGACUUGUGUUGCUGUCAUGAUAUGAAAGAUUCCAGUGAUUAUAAAAAUAGAUGGUGUGGCAAGAAGUAAUAUUAAUAUGUACUGGAAACUCUGAAGUCCAAAGAGAAAUAAAUGGAUGAACGCACUUGAGUUGAUUCAAGCACGCUUCCAUGGUCAUGAGCUCUGUGGUUGCAUCUGUGUGUUAGGAGCAUGCAGACCAAUGGUGAUAAUCUCGAGGUGAUUUAUGCAUUCUUCCAUGGCCACCAGCCUUAUGAUUGCAUCUGUGCGUCACAGCUUAGAGAUCAAUGAUGGAUGCAACAAGCUCUUUGAAUCAUUCUGUUGGGAUCAAGAUUGUUGUGUUCCCUCUGUUUGGAAAGAGACCAAGGAUGGAUACGCUCAGGUGAUUUAAGCAGUCUUCCA